rnacentral:rRNA from 1 species
GACGAACCGUCCAAACGUUGUUCGGAAUUACUGGGCUUAAAGGGUGCGUAGGCGGCGCGGAAAGUUGGGUGUGAAAUCCCUCGGCUCAACCGAGGAACUGCGCCCAAUACUACCGUGCUUGAGGGAGAUAGAGGUGAGCGGAACUUAGGGUGGAGCGGUGAAAUGCGUUGAUAUCCUAAGGAACACCGGUGGCGAAAGCGGCUCACUGGAUCUCUUCUGACGCUGAGGCACGAAAGCUAGGGUAGCGAACGGG